rnacentral:rRNA from 1 species
UGGGGAAUUGUUCGCAAUGGGCGCAAGCCUGACGACGCAACGCCGCGUGGAGGAUGACGGUCUUCGGAUUGUAAACUCCUGUUGCUCGGGACGAAUGGCGCCGGCCGAAUACGCCGGCGUGUGACGGUACCGGGUGAGGAAGCCCCGGCUAACUCUGUGCCAGCAGCCGCGGUAAUACAGAGGGGGCAAGCGUUGUUCGGAAUUACUGGGCGUAAAGGGCGCGUAGGCGGCCGGCUAAGUCGAACGUGAAAUCCCUGGGCUCAACCCAGGAACUGCGUCCGAUACUGGUCGGCUUGAAUCCGGGAGAGGGAUGCGGAAUUCCAGGUGUAGCGGUGAAAUGCGUAGAUAUCUGGAGGAACACCGGUGGCGAAGGCGGCAUCCUGGACCGGCAUUGACGCUGAGGCGCGAAAGCCAGGGGAGCAAACGG